CCUGAAAUUGAUUGAGAGAACUUUAAAUGAAAUUUUUACUUCGCUUAUAAUAUAUAUGAUUUUUUCAUAUUCACAAGUUUAAAUUUAUGGUUUCCAAUUAAAAAGAUCAAAAUAUUUAAUUUGGAAUUAAUUUUACCCAGAAUUAAAUCGAAAAAAUUAACAUAACUCAAAAUUUUAUCUCACUAUAUUAUGAAAGUAACCCAAAUUUUAUUAAAAAAAAUGAAACCCUUUGCUUUUCUAAAACGACGCUCCACUUUCUGGCCUCUCUUCUCUUGCCAUUAACAGCCGCCUGAGCUUGAGUAUUGACCCGAUUCCGACGUCGUCUGCCAUGGCUCAUCUUCCCAGAUCGUUAAGAGGUGAUUUUAUUACCGCUACUGGUUUCCUCCUCGUUGCCGGAUUUUUGGGUGGUCGCCGGCAUUAAACAGUAACUCUUCCUCAUUCGUCCUCUUUUCGCCGCUGACGUCACACCCUCACCAUCUCCUCCGGUGAACUCUCCUGCCAGAUCCCGAACAUCCCACGCACCAUCACCAAACUUAAGAACCUUGACCUCCUCCGGUUAAAGCAAAACAAUCUCUCCGGCCCAAUUCCUGAAUACAUCAGCGAGCUCAAGAACGUUACAAGCUAACCGGGUCGGCAUGCUUUGGUGUAUGACAUAAACGUUGCUUACCUGAGAGCUUGGUGUAUGGCAAGCUCAACAUCCUUAUAUUGUGGAACACCGUAACAUGAAGCCGCAAAACAUUCUUAUUCUUGCUGGAUAAGUCGUUAAGGCAAGAAGAAACAACUGCAUGUGGAUAAGCGUAUAGGUGUCUCUUCUUGUUUGUGUUUACGACAAGAGAGCAACAUCUUUUCAUCAAGCUGCCGGGCAGAGAUAGCCUCAGUGUAUGAAUGUUCUGUUGGAUAGUAAUUCUCUCGUUUGUAUCUAAUA